UGAACCUUGGGCCUGGCUGGCCGGUCCGCCUCACCGCGUGUAUGCUCGCUGAUGGGCCUUUCCCUCUGUGGAACCCCAUGCCCUUCACUGGAUGCUCGCUGAUUGCAGGACUUUUACUGUGAAAAAAUUAGAGUGCUCCAGGCAGGCCUAUAUGCUCGCUGAUGACAUGGAAUAAUAUGUCGUCGAGUGUGGUUCUAUUUUGUUGGUUUACUAGGACCGCCGUAAUGAUUAAUAGGGACAGUCGGGGGCAUCAGUAUUCAAUUGUAUGUCAUGCUCGUCUUGGAUUUAUUGAAGACUAAUGCUCGCUGAUAGAUUUGCCAAGGAUGUUUUCAUUAAUCAGGAACGAAAGUUAGGGGAUCGAAGACGAUUAGAUGAUGUCGUAUGCUCGCUGUAGAUGCUCGCCGAUGUCGCUACGGACGGUGUUAUUAUGCUCAUGCUCGCUGUAGAUACGAGAAAUCAAAGUGCUUGGGCUCCAGGGGGAGUAUGGUCGCAAGGCUGAAACUUAAAUGCUCGUAGGGAUCGUCGCUGAUAUGGAGCCUGCGGCUUAAAUGCUGCUCGUAAUGCUCGCUGAUAUAGCUCGUGA
rnacentral:rRNA from 1 species